GAUCAGCCCAAAAGCCCAAUUUAUUUCUAACCCCAUAACCAGCGCCCCUCUUAACAUUACUCAAAACCCUAAAGCUUCUCAAAACCAACCCGCCUCCCUUUCGUCCCUCUCAACCCGCCUCCAUCUCUUUCUCUCCCUUUCGUCCCUCUCAACCCGCCUCCCUCUCUUUCUCUCUCACUUUCUCUCUCACUUUCGUCCCUCUCUUUGUCUCUCACUUUCGUCCGACGAUCUGCUUCAGUUCACAUCAACCGACGAUCGAAACUUCGACGCCAUGACCUUCAGUGAGCGAUCUUCAGCGUCGACGACACCAACAACAGCAACAACACUUCGAACAACUAACGAAUCUUCAGCGAACGAACGAAUCUUCAGGUAACUUAUUUUUUUUCUUUUUCUUUUUCUUGUUUUUAUUCGCCUGUUUUAAUUUUUCGUAAUUUGUCAUUUUUUUCAGAAUUCAGAUCUUGUUUGAAGACCUCGUUUUUUCAUUUCCGUGAAUUUUUCGAAGAACUCAUUUUUCAUCCUAAAAUCUCCAGAUGUGUUCGAAGUAUAACAACGAGAAGGAAGAUCAAGAUGUGAAGGAAGCUCCAACAUUUUUUUUACUAUUAUUGAUAGAUUUGUUUUUAUGAAUUAUUGUAAUAUAUAUGUUCUAAAAUUCGAAGCAUUUUCGUUUUUAUUUUUCCAGAUCUGGUCGAAUUUUUGUACAGUAUUGUUAUUAGUUUUAUUUGAUUUUCAAUCCUCUAUCUCUUACAUCUCCAUAGUCCAUUACCUUUGUAGUUUGUAUUGUUAUUAGUUUUUUGUACAGUAUUCAUUUCCUUUUCAAUUACUGCAUUCGUUAUUGUUGAUUCA